rnacentral:lncRNA from 1 species
CCACCAAUCAGAGCUCACGCUUAACGUCACAUAAAUAGUCCGGUCGGCUCCUCUCUUCCUCACUGAUCUUUGAAACUACCAGAAAACCUUUUCAAGAGGAACUCCGCACACCGAAAACUGUAAAUGUAUCCUCCACUUUUCCCAGGUCGGGUCGUUUAAGGAUGACUACCAUGUGAUUUCUUUCAGUUGAGGAUCUUACUCGUCAGGAAUUACUUUUUAUAUGAUGAAAAGACCGUUGCAUCGGUUUUGAAGAAGCUUUGGAAGUGCUGAAAAAUGAAAGUGAAAUGCGCAGAUACGGAUACUAUGGAGGUGAAGGUUACAAGUGGUCAGAAAAAUAAACCAUGGCAAAGACAACAAAAGGUUCCAGCAGGAAGGGGAAAAAGUGUAGCACCCAUUCAAGACUCCAUCAAUAAGAAAAGGGGGGCAGUGUCUACCAAUCCAAAUCAAGUUUGUCACUCCCAAAGGGACAGGUGGGUGAUUGGUGACACAGCAGUUAUCGCUUCGAUCUUUAGAUUUUUCUAUAUUUUAACUGUCCAUGCACACAUGUUUUUGAAUGUUUUGAAAGUAUUAUCUUUUAUCAGUGUAGUGUAUUCUACUUACUACUUUAACACAAAUUAUGUCUGCAACCCUAAUGCAUAUACCUAUCCACCUGGUGUGUUAAGUACAGCCUACUAUUAAAAAGCACAGACAAUGUAAGCACUAUAAUCAGUAUGUGUUCGGAACUUGUGUGUAUCUUAACUGCAGGAAUUCCUAAAAGCACAUGGUCUAUUAAGUUGUCAAACAUAAGUUUCCUGUUGCGCAGCUAACAAACAUAUCCCACUGGAUAAGAAGGAAUUAAGACUCACAAAAAAGGAAGGGGUUCUGCAGACCGCUGAUGUUCACUGCUUUGUAAAUAAAGUAAACUUCAUGAAGCCAAGGGAUUCGGACUGAGUCAUUCUACAUGGAAAAGGACAUAGAUUAUCUUUGUAUGUAGAAGGACAACGGUUCCUCUGACAGACGAACGAAGUGCGCGCUUAAAAAUCUGUAAAAUUUGACUCC